UACGGAGAGUGCAAGCGUUGUUCGGAAUCACUGGGCGUAAAGGGCGUGUAGGCGGUCCGCUAAGUCUGAUGUGAAAGCCCGGGGCUCACCCCCGGAAGGGCAUUGGAAACUGGCGGACUCGAGUCCCGGAGAGGAAGGUGGAAUUCCUGGUGUAGCGGUGAAAUGCGUAGAUAUCAGGAGGAAUACCGGUGGCGAAGGCGGCCUUCUGGACGGUGACUGACGCUGAGAAGCGAAAGCGUGGGGAGCAAACAGG
rnacentral:rRNA from 1 species